CCAGUUUGUUGUUUGCUUUUUGUGGAGUAUUUUCUUUUCCUCCCUCUUCACCAAAGACAUACUUUUUAAAAGCAUUUUAGUGUGUAAUUUUAUCUAGUCAAAUCGAUUAUUAUUUUCUUUAUAAUUUCUUCUAACAUUUCUAGAAGUCAGCCUCCAAAUCUGUUUUCUCCUAGUUUUAUUUUCUUUUAUAUUUAACCCUUAAACCACAGGUAAGGAAUAUGUCAUCUCUGCAUGCCUCCAAAGAACCUAUUUCAGUAUCUUUCACAUGCUAAGCAUUCAAUAAAUGCUUCUUACAUAUUCUUUAUUAAAAGAUAAAAUUUAGAAAACAGCAGCCAUUAUUGGAUUCUUACUAGUCUCUUUACAAGCUGAUUAAUCAAUUUAGAUAUGAAAGUAAAAUACACUCCAUAAUGAAUGACAAGGCAAUGCUGCAGAUUUGAUGUGUUCUUUCUACUGCGGGGACAUAAAUAAUAUGGUUUAAGAAAAUCUGGUGGCCAGGUGUGGUGGCGGGUGCCUGUAGUCCCAGCUACUUGGGAGGCUGAGGCAGGAGAAUGGCAUGAACCCAGAAAGCAGAGCUUGCAGUGAGCCGAGAUCAUGCCACUGCACUCCAGUCUGCGCGAAAGAGCAAGACUCCAUCUCAAAAUUUAAAAAAAAAAAAAUCUGAGUUAAUACACACAUUUUAUUUUAGCCAUCAAAUUAAAAUAACCUGAAUUUUAAUCUACACAUUUAUUUUCAAGGUCACUGGAAUCCCUAAUCUUGGCUAAUUUAACUACGUUUAUCCUGAAUCAAUCUCUUUGCUUCCCAAUUGUUUCCAGUGACCAAAAUUUUUAGUAUCUGGAAAACAUACUAAGAAGCUUUUAAUGAAAAUUGCUUAAAGAGUUCUUUUUCUACACAUAUCUUACCAUAUAUCCAGUAUUUUUCAGUCAUUUGUUCUCAAAUGCUUUCACUUGGCUUCAGCUCUGCUGACCUUGUUAAUCCUUAAUUCACAAAUUAUGGUAAAGUCAUAUCUUACUCCAGAAUUAGGUUCUUUUUUUUUUUUUUGAGACAGGGUCUUGCUCUGUUGCCCAGGCUGGGGUGUGGUGGUGCAAUCUCGGCUCACUGAAACUUCCGCCUCCCAGGCUCAAAGCAAUCCUCCUACCUCAACCUCCCAAGUAGCUGGGACUACAGGUGUGUGCCACCAUGC
rnacentral:lncRNA from 10 species